ensembl:lncRNA
ACAGAACAUGGCCAAGAUGUUCAAAUGUUCAUAAAUGACCAGCAUGGUCAAAUAAUAAUAAGGCAGAACAGUUGAAACUGGAGCAGCAGCACAGUCAGGUGGACUGGGGACAGCAAGGAGUCAUCAUGUCAGGUAGUCCUGGGGCAUGGUCCUAGGGCUCAGGUCCUCCGAGAGAGAGAAAGAAAGAGAGAAGGAGAGAAUUAGAGAACGCACACAGGACACCGAAUAGGACAGGAGAAGUACUCCAGAUAUAACAAACUGACCCCAGCCCACAAAGAUCUCCGCCACGGCACAACCCAAGGGGGGGGCGCCAACCCAGACAGGAUGACCACAACAGUGAAUCAACCCACUCAGGUGACGCACCCCCUCCAGGGACGGCAUGAGAGAGCCCCAGCAAGCCAGUGACUCAGCCCCUGUAAUAGGGUAAGAGGCAGAGAGCCCCAGUGGAAAGAGGGGAACCGGCCAGGCAGAGACAGCAAGGGCUGUUCGUUGCUCCAGUGCCUUUCCGUUCACCUUCCCACUCCUGGGCCAGACUACACUCAAUCAUAUGACCCACUGAAGAGAUGAGUCUUCAGUAAAGACUUAAAGGUUGAGACCGAGUUUGCGUCUCUGACAUGGGUAGGCAGACUGUUCCAUAAAAAUGGAGCUCUAUAGGAGAAAGCCCUGCCUCCAGCUGUUUGCUUAGAAAUUCUAGGGACAAUUAGGAGGCCUGCGUCUUGUGACCGUAGCGUACGUGUAGGUAUGUACGGCAGGACCCAACUCCAGUCAAAUAGUAGCUACAGUAUUACAACAGUAUUACAACACUACGAACCUGCAUUGACAAGAAUGAUGGAGCAUUUUAACUUACACACAAUUGUUUUUUUUUUGCAUAUCCCAACUCCCUCUGAGACACCCACAAGUGCCUUAUUUUCCCACUUUGUCGGCUCCGGUAUUUGAGCCAGCAACCUUUCGGUAACUGGCCCAGUGAUCUAAAGUUGAGGCUACGUGCCGCCCCUUAGUGGGUCUGCAGGGUGACUCCCCUAGUGGGUCUGGAACCCAGGUCAGCAGCACUACAUUGCUGUGUGUCUGUAUAAUUGAGGGUGUAUUGGUUUAGUUAUACUCAAUUCAGUUCUGUUUCCAGAGGGGACCUCAAUGCUGUUACACGUAGCCAUGAUCACCAAGCUACCCUGACUUAAUAAAAC